UCAUAACUUGGUCGUUUUAAGCCGGAAUUAGCUCAUUUUUGGACACGAGCUACAUAUUACCAUAUAUUUAUAUUUCCCAAAAGCCUGUAAUUUUUCUCAUUAACUAAAUGUCCAAAACAGCCCUCGGAAAAUUUUGGCCAGAAACUUUUUGUCGUUUGGCAGAUUUGGAGUCCUUUACCAAAACGUAAAUAAAAUGAAAUCUAUAACUCCGAUUAAUGAUCCGUCAAUUUUUUUGGAUUCGUAUCUUUCCGAACUACAGAUUUCAUAUAUCACAAUCCAUAUUUGGAUAUGUUUAGCUCCCGGAAUUUAUCCCGGAAGUGACUGUUCCAAAACUGUCCUUUUCACAGUUUUCUUAACUUUGUGUAGUUUGGGAGAAAUCCCAUAACUCCCUCCUCCGAUGUCGGAUUUAGUCCGUUUUGGAGUCUAUGGAAAGCUUAUUGAGUGUACUAUAACAUAUCACAAGUCCAGAAUUUUUAGAGCACUCUAACAAAUCCGAAAAUUUCUGUUUAGGGCAGCAGUCCAUUAAUUCAUUUAAAACAAAAAAAACUGUUUUGGCUAUUCUUCUUUGUUCAAGCCUAUCAACCCUAAAAAUGGCAAGAUCUAACCAUAAAAUAUCAAUUAUCAUGUAGAUCUAUAGUUCUCAUGUUCAAGAUCUUAAACUUAUGGUUCAAAAUCAUAAGUUCAACACUUG
rnacentral:lncRNA from 1 species